UCCUUGGUGGUCCAGGGAUCAGAACUCAGCACUUUUGCUGCCAAGGCCCAGGUUCAAUCCCUGGUCAGGAAA
rnacentral:tRNA from 1 species